UCCAUGUAGCUUCGGAAGAGAAUCCUGC
rnacentral:piRNA from 1 species